rnacentral:rRNA from 1 species
CCUACGGGUGGCUGCAGUGGGAAAUAUUGCACAAUGGGGGAAACCCUGAUGCAGCGACGCCGCGUGAAGGAAGAAGUAUUUCGGUAUGGAAACGUCUAUCAGCAGGGAAGAAAAUGACGGUACCUGACUAAGAAGCCCCGGCUAACGACGUGCCAGCAGCCGCGGUAAUACGAAGGGGGCAAGCGUUAUCCGGAUUUACUGGGUGUAAAGGGAGCGUAGGCGGCGAUGCAAGUCAGAAGUGAAAGCCCGGGGCUCAACUCCGGGACUGCUUUUGAAACUGUAUGGCUAGAUUGCAGGAGAGGCAAGUGGAAUUCCUCGUGUAGCGGUGAAAUGUGUAGAUAUUAGGAGGAACACCAGUGGCGAAGGCGGCUUGCUGGACUGUAACUGACGCUGAGGCUCGACAGCGUGGGGAGCAAACAGGAUUAGAUACCCCUGUAGUC